rnacentral:rRNA from 1 species
GAAUUGCGAUAAGUAAUGUGAAUUGCAGAAUUCAGUGAAUCAUCGAAUCUUUGAACGCAGGAAUUGCGAUAAGUAAUGUGAAUUGCAGAAUUCAGUGAAUCAUCGGAUCUUUGAACGCAGCUUGCGCUCUCUGGUAUUCCGUAGAGUACGUCUGUUUGAGCGUCGCGAACAUCUCCAUAAUUAGUUUUUUUUUAAAUUGAUUGUGGGUUUUGAGGUUGUCAUAUAACAGUGACUCCCUUUAAAAUAAUUAGUGAUGACCUUAUGAAUGGGUUAAUACUGUGUGUUAUAAUGGAUUACAUCCAUCACCAGUCAGAGAGUAAUCUCGCCUUAGUAAUUUGUAGUGAUUGCUUCUAACUGCCAUUGGCAAACAAACUGAUCAAAUCGACCUCAAAUCAGAUGGGAUUACCCGCUGAACUUAA